rnacentral:rRNA from 1 species
AAGGGAGCUUCGGCUCCUGAGUAAAGUGGCGCACGGGUGCGUACACGUUAAGCAAUCUGCCCGGACUCUGGGAUAACUUCUCGAAAGGGAAGCUAAGACUGGAUAGGGUCCUCGAGGCACAAGCUGCGAGGGGAAAAUAGGCCUCUUCUAUAUGCCUGUGGUCCGGGGAUGAGCUUGCGGCCCAUUAGCUAGUUGGUAAGGUAACGGCUUACCAAGGCAACGAUGGGUAGCUGGUCUGAGAGGAUGAUCAGCCACACUGGCACUGAGAUACGGGCCAGACUCCUACGGGAGGCAGCAGUGGGGAAUUUUGCGCAAUGGCGAAAGCCUGACGCAGUAACGCCGCGUGGAGGACGAAGGCCUUCGGGUUGUAAACUCCUGUCAGGGGGAACGACAGAGGCAGAACAAACAGUUCUGCUCUCUAGACGGUACUUCCAAAGGAAGCCCCGGCUAAUUCCGUGCCAGCAGCCGCGGUAA